GAUGAACGCCGGCGGUGUGCCUAAUACAUGCAAGUCGUACGCACUGGCCCAACUGAUUGAUGGUGCUUGCACCUGAUUGACGAUGGAUCACCAGUGAGUGGCGGACGGGUGAGUAACACGUAGGUAACCUGCCCCGGAGCGGGGGAUAACAUUUGGAAACAGAUGCUAAUACCGCAUAACAACAAAAGCCACAUGGCUUUUCUUUGAAAGAUGGCUUUGGCUAUCACUCUGGGAUGGACCUGCGGUGCAUUAGCUAGUUGGUAAGGUAACGGCUUACCAAGGCGAUGAUGCAUAGCCGAGUUGAGAGACUGAUCGGCCACAAUGGAACUGAGACACGGUCCAUACUCCUACGGGAGGCAGCAGUAGGGAAUCUUCCACAAUGGGCGCAAGCCUGAUGGAGCAACACCGCGUGAGUGAAGAAGGGUUUCGGCUCGUAAAGCUCUGUUGUUGGAGAAGAACGUGCGUGAGAGUAACUGUUCACGCAGUGACGGUAUCCAACCAGAAAGUCACGGCUAACUACGUGCCAGCAGCCGCGGUAAUACGUAGGUGGCAAGCGUUAUCCGGAUUUAUUGGGCGUAAAGCGAGCGCAGGCGGUUGCUUAGGUCUGAUGUGAAAGCCUUCGGCUUAACCGAAGAAGUGCAUCGGAAACCGGGCGACUUGAGUGC
rnacentral:rRNA from 1 species